rnacentral:rRNA from 1 species
GAUGAACGCUGGCGGCGUGCCUAAUACAUGCAAGUCGAGCGAACAGACGAGGAGCUUGCUCCUCUGACGUUAGCGGCGGACGGGUGAGUAACACGUGGAUAACCUACCUAUAAGACUGGUAUAACUUCGGGAAUCCGGCGCUAAUACCGUAUAAUCUAUUGAACCGCAUGGUUCAAUAGUGAAAGACGGUUUUGCUGUCACUUAUAGAUGGAUCCGCGCCGCAUUAGCUAGUUGGUAAGGUAACGGCUUACCAAGGCAACGAUGCGUAGCCGACCUGAGAGGGUGAUCGGCCACACUGGAAGGGAGACACGGUCAAGACGCCUAAGAGAGGCAGCAGUAGGGAAUCUUCCGCAAUGGGCGAAAGCCUGACGGAGCAACGCGGCGUGAGUGAUGAAGGUCUUCGGAUCGUAAAACUCUGUUAUUAGGGAAGAACAAAUGUGGAAGUAACUAUGCACGUCUUGACGGUACCUAAUCAGAAAGCCACGGCUAACUACGUG